GACAGAGGUUGCAAGCGUUGUUCGGAAUUACUGGGCAUAAAGCGCACGUAGGCGGUCCGCUAAGUCAUGUGUGAAAUCCCCCGGCUCAACCGGGGAAUGGCGCCUGAUACUGGCGGACUCGAGAUCGGUAGGGGUGAGUGGAACUCCAGGUGGAGCGGUGAAAUGCGUAGAUAUCGGCAGGAACACCAGUGGCGAAGGCGGCCACCUAGCCCGCACCUGACGCUGAGGCGCGACAGCGUGGGGAGCGAACUGG
rnacentral:rRNA from 1 species